CAGCGCCACGAGUGGUAACCACGUUUAUUGGGCCUAAAGCGUCCGUAGCCGGUUUGAUAAAUCUUUUGUGAAAUUGUACAGCUUAACUGUACAGCGUGCAAGAGACACUGUCAAACUUGAGACCGGGAGGAGUCAGAAGUAUUCCAGAGGGAGCGGUAAAAUGUUAUAAUCUCUGGAGGACUACCUGUGGCGAAGGCGUCUGACCAGAACGGAUCUGACGGUGAGGGACGAAAGCUAGGGGAGCGAACCGGAUUAGAUACCCGAGCAGUCC
rnacentral:rRNA from 1 species